UGUCAGGAAUUGUGAAAAACUGAGGUUAAAUGUAUUUGGCUAAGGUGUAUGUAAACUUCCGACUUCAACUGUAGCAUGGGUGACCAAGGAAAAACAAAUUGAUACAGUGUUAGGCAACGUGGCAAACAAUAAUGCAGGCACUAAGGAUAGGGGUGUGAACAUGUGGAUCUGGGCAGAAUAGAUGUAGUUAUUUUUUGUGUGCGUCUUGUAAUUGUUGUUCGUAAGUGUAAGUUUGUAUAUGCAGUGUAUUUUAAAAAACAAACAUUUUUUUAUUAAAAAAUAUUAUUAAAAGAAAAUUGUCACAACUAUUUUCUGAUAAGUAUAUACUAUUAUAAAUAAUGACAGUAUAAGCAUGGAUGAUGAUUACCUUAUUUGCCUUAUUGAGUAAUUGAAACUUUGCCAAAGAGUGUAGUAGACUGAUAUUUCUUCUUUGUUUAUUGGACUCAUCCAUUGUCUCCUAUACUUGAGUAGGAUUUAGAUUGGUAAUUGUCAAUUACCAAACCAGUUAAAACAACACCUUAAUUUAACACUAUACCGUUCCCUAGGAAAGUAAUGUGAUGUGAAGAAUGUAGUGAGAUAUUUUCAGGUCCCUUGAAAUGAACACAGACAGACCAAUGUUUACCAACACCGUUUAUAUAUCCAAUCAUGUGACUAGAAUAGAAACCAACAGACUCAAAACAUUCCUAAUGUCUGGAAAAUAAAAUUGAACAUUUGUCUGUUACAAGCCUAUCCCUUCUCCUCCUCCUCCUCCCCCUAUUUUUCCUCCCUCUCUCCUAACGGAGGGCAUAGAGCACGAAGAGAAGCAGUCCCCUCCCUGUUGUCUUUAACCUGUCUUUCACCUCCCUCUUAGGACUGGUAAGUACAGGGGCUGUGUCUGGACUUGAAGGGCUGACUCCUAUCUCCUUCUGCCAAAACUUACUGCUAACUCCUCAUAUUAACUCCUACUAAUUCCUCCUGCGGACUCCUCCUGCUAACUCCCUCUGAUAUCCCUCUGUUAGUCCUAGUAACUCCUCCUGCUAACUCCCUCUGAUAUCUCUCUGUUAGUCCUAGUAACUCCUCCUGCUAACUCCCCCUGAUAUCUCUCUGUUAGUCCUAGUAACUCCUCCUGCUAACUCCCCCUGAUAUCUCUCUGUUAGUCCUAGUAACUACUCCUGCUAACUCCCUCUGAUAUCUCUCUGUGAGUACUAGUAACUCCUCCUGCUAUGUCCUUCUACUCCUAGGUUGCUGGGAGCAGCAGUAUGCAGUAGCAGAGCAGCACAUCUUGUUUACUAGGCCAAAGGUCCUCUCUCUCAGCAGCCAGCCUGUCAAACCAGCCACCAACCUCACACAAUUCAACAUAAACCCUAUUCACAAAGCAGAGGGUUUGGGUUUGGUUCAAAGCAGUGGUUUGGUUCAAAGCAGUGGGUUUGGUUCAGAAUGUUGGUUCAAUUAAUAUUAUAUUCUUACGCCAUCACCAACAUAAAUUAUUAUAUGAAUACAGAUUAUAAAUGAUAGUCAAUGGACUGGCAAACGACAACCUUUUCUUGCAACCCUCAAUUGAUUUCCCUCCAUUCUCCCUGUUCCUAUGUGGAUUGAUCCCAGGCUGUGUGAGCUGGUCCCGGACUGCUAGGGGAUGUUCAGUGUGGUCCAGCUCCACACCCUGCCAGGACCUCCUUCACCUCUACACCAGGAGCAAAGACCUUGGAAGUCGACAGCUUUUAUCCCCUCUAUACCUGCCUCCUACACAACAAACCCUGAGACAUACUGCAGUGUGAGCUGAGCAGCCAUCGCUUUAGCUGUCAUCCACAAAUAAAAUGCAGUAAUGAAUGAUCCCAUCUCCCUUUUCUCUUGUUCUCUUUAUUAUGAUAUUGGCUAAUAUAUGAAUGAUACCCCCUAUUCCCAUCCCCCACUAUAUCUCUCACUCUCCACCCAUCCCUCUCCCCUCCAGUCUCAAUGUAGUGAUGUGGGUCAGUCUGCAGCAGCAGCCCGGGGGGUUGCAUUCAGCUUAAUACAGCUAGGUUUGUGCGUGGAUCCUGUGCGUGGAGCAGUCAUUUGUGCAGCCUUUGGUAUCUGUGUGAUGCCCAGAUACUGAGAGCACAGUGGGCCCGUGGUCACUAGCAUUGUCUCAGACCCACUACUUACCUCAGCCUCUACCUCAAGCCCAGCCCAGGCUUUACCGUAGCCUGUGAGGCUGGAUCCUCUGAGCCCAGAAACACCACCUAACUCUCUUUGCAUGUUUUCGGGGUGUGAUAGUUGGUGUGGAUGAGGACAGCCUACUCCUGGCCAGUCUGCAGCUUAUGUGGGAGUGACUGCUUGGAGAUGGCACCCCAAAAGCUCUCCAGCAGAGCACCAUCAUGCCUGUGUGUUACUCUGCAGCCUCUGGCCAUGAGGGGAGUUCUCUCUCGCUCACCUGUUAUGUAAUAUACGGUUGCAAGAUGGAGAAUGUGUUGGGGAGGGAGGUGGGCCCCAUCAGCGCUUACAUCCGUGCGGUCACCAGGAAACCUGCCCUGUGCAUCGGCCUGGAAGACAUCUGCCUCUGAGGCUGUCAAAGUGGGGAGUGGGACCCCAUGAAAUAAAUCUGUAAGACUGAGGCCUCUUCAGCCCAGCCCCACAAGCUCUCUCUGUACAGAAUGUGAAUAAUUGGUGAAAAAAUAGAUCUGUUUGUGUGUUACUGAUGGGUUAGGACCCAGGAGCUGACAGCCCAAGGUUAGAACUGACAGACCAGAGAGGAGCAACAUAUGUCGAACUUGGCCCACGUGGGUCCAACUGGUGACUGUAAAAUAUACCUGUUUGCUGUAAAUAGCCACACGUUUCUCUGCGUUUCCUUGAAUAUCUACCUCCUAAUAUAUUUCUGAAGAUGAAUGGUACUUAUACUCUGUCAAUAAACAUUGUAUUAUGCUAGUGUA